ACGCCGGUAGCUCAAUUGGUAGAGCAGCCGUCUCCAAAGCGGCAGGUUGCGGGUUCGAUUCCCUCCCGGCGUG
rnacentral:tRNA from 1 species